rnacentral:rRNA from 1 species
AGCGGCGGACGGGUGAGUAACGCGUGGGAAUAUGCCCUUCUCUAAGGAAUAGCCUCUGGAAACGGAGAGUAAUACCUUAUACGCCCUUCGGGGGAAAGAUUUAUCGGAGAAGGAUUAGCCCGCGUUAGAUUAGGUAGUUGGUGGGGUAAUGGCCUACCAAGCCUACGAUCUAUAGCUGGUUUGAGAGGAUGAUCAGCCACACUGGGACUGAGACACGGCCCAGACUCCUACGGGAGGCAGCAGUAGGGAAUCUUAGACAAUGGGGGAAACCCUGAUCUAGCCAUGCCGCGUGUGUGAUGAAGGCCUUAGGGUCGUAAAGCACUUUCGCCAGAGAUGAUAAUGACAGUAUCUGGUAAAGAAACCCCGGCUAACUCCGUGCCAGCAGCCGCGGUAAUACGGAGGGGGUUAGCGUUGUUCGGAAUUACUGGGCGUAAAGCGCACGUAGGCGGACUAGUAAGUUAGAGGUGAAAUCCCAGGGCUCAACCCUGGAACUGCCUUUAAUACUGCUAGUCUUGAGUUCGAGAGAGGUAAGUGGAAUUCCAAGUGUAGAGGUGAAAUUCGUAGAUAUUUGGAGGAACACCAGUGGCGAAGGCGGCUUACUGGCUCGAUACUGACGCUGAGGUGCGAAAGUGUGGGGAGCAAACAGGAUUAGAUACCCUGGUAGUCCACACCGA